GUACUUACCUGGACGGGGUCUAUGGCUGAUCAGUCAUGGCCUAGAUUAGCAGCUUCCAUUGCACUUAGGAGGAGCACUGGCCUACCAUCUCCUCGAGCAGGAGAGUGGACGUAAUAAUUUGUGGACGAGGGGUACGUGUUCGCGCGGCCCCUAC